rnacentral:rRNA from 1 species
GGUGACUGCGUACCUUUUGUAUAAUGGGUCAGCGACUUAUAUUCUGUAGCAAGGUUAACCGUAUAGGGGAGCCGUAGGGAAACCGAGUCUUAACUGGGCGAAUGAGUUGCAGGGUAUAGACCCGAAACCCGGUGAUCUAUCCAUGGGCAGGUUGAAGGUUGGGUAACACUAACUGGAGGACCGAACCGACUAAUGUUGAAAAAUUAGCGGAUGACUUGUGGAUGGGGGUGAAAGGCCAAUCAAACCGGGAGAUAGCUGGUUCUCCCCGAAAGCUAUUUAGGUAGCGCCUCGUGAACUCAUCUUCGGGGGUAGAGCACUGUUUCGACUAGGGGGUCAUCCCGACUUACCAACUCGAUGCAAACUGCGAAUACCGAAGAAUGUUAUCACGGGAGACACACGGCGGGUGCUAACGUCCGUCGUGAAGAGGGAAACAACCCAGACCGCCAGCUAAGGUCCCAAAGUCAUGGUUAAGUGGGAAACGAAGUGGGAAGGCUCAGACAGCCAGGAUGUUGGCUUAGAAGCAGCCAUCAUUUAAAGAAAGCGUAAUAGCUCACUGGUCGAGUCGGCCCGCGCGGAAGAUGUAACGGGGCUAAACCAUGCACCGAAGCUGCGGCAGCGACACAAAGUGUUGUUGGGUAGGGGAGCGUUCUGUAAGCCUGCGAAGGUGUACUGUGAGGUAUGCUGGAGGUAUCAGAAGUGCGAAUGCUGACAUAAGUAACGAUAAUGCGGGUGAAAAACCCGCACGCCGGAAGACCAAGGGUUCCUGUCCAACGUUAAUCGGGGCAGGGUGAGUCGACCCCUAAGGCGAGGCUGAAAAGCGUAGUCGAUGGGAAACGGGUUAAUAUUCCCGUACUGGUGGUAACUGCGAUGGGGGAACGGAGAAGGCUAGGUUGUCCGGGCGACGGUCGUCCCGGUUCAAGCAGGUAGGCAGAGUGAUUAGGCAAAUCCGGUCACUUAAUGCUGAGAUGUGAUGACGAACCACCAAGGUGGUGAAGCAAUUGAUGCCCCGCUUCCAGGAAAAGCCUCUAAGCUUCAGGUUACCAACAAUCGUACCCCAAACCGACACAGGUGGUCAGGUAGAGAAUACUCAGGCGCUUGAGAGAACUCGGGUGAAGGAACUAGGCAAAAUGGUGCCGUAACUUCGGGAGAAGGCACGCUGGCGGUAGGUAAAGUCCCUCGCGGACGGCGCUGAAGCCAGUCGAAGAUACCAGCUGGCUGCAACUGUUUAUUAAAAACACAGCACUGUGCAAACACGAAAGUGGACGUAUACGGUGUGACGCCUGCCCGGUGCUGGAAGGUUAAUUGAUGGGGUUAGCGCAAGCGAAGCUCCUGAUCGAAGCCCCAGUAAACGGCGGCCGUAACUAUAACGGUCCUAAGGUAGCGAAAUUCCUUGUCGGGUAAGUUCCGACCUGCACGAAUGGCGUAAUGAUGGCCAGGCUGUCUCCACCCGAGACUCAGUGAAAUUGAACUCGCUGUGAAGAUGCAGUGUACCCGCGGCAAGACGGAAAGACCCCGUGAACCUUUACUAUAGCUUGACACUGAACAUUGAGCCUUGAUGUGUAGGAUAGGUGGGAGGCUUUGAAGUGUGGACGCCAGUCUGCAUGGAGCCAACCUUGAAAUACCACCCUUUAACGUUUGAUGUUCUAACCUAGGCCCAUAAACUGGGUCGGGGACCGUGUCUGGUGGGUAGUUUGACUGGGGCGGUCUCCUCCUAAAGAGUAACGGAGGAGCACGAAGGUUGGCUAAGCAUGGUCGGACAUCAUGCGGUUAGUGCAAAGGCAUAAGCCAGCUUGACUGCGAGAGUGACGGCUCGAGCAGGUACGAAAGUAGGUCUUAGUGAUCCGGUGGUUCUGAAUGGAAGGGCCAUCGCUCAACGGAUAAAAGGUACUCCGGGGAUAACAGGCUGAUACCGCCCAAGAGUUCAUAUCGACGGCGGUGUUUGGCACCUCGAUGUCGGCUCAUCACAUCCUGGGGCUGAAGUAGGUCCCAAGGGUAUGGCUGUUCGCCAUUUAAAGUGGUACGCGAGCUGGGUUUAGAACGUCGUGAGACAGUUCGGUCCCUAUCUGCCGUGGGCGUUGGAAGAUUGAGAGGGGUUGCUCCUAGUACGAGAGGACCGGAGUGAACGCACCACUGGUGUUCGGGUUGUCAUGCCAAUGGCAUUGCCCGGUAGCUAAGUGCGGAAGAGAUAACCGCUGAAAGCAUCUAAGCGGGAAACUUGCCUCGAGAUGAGUCUUCCCUGUCGCUUUA